rnacentral:rRNA from 1 species
UACGGAGGAUCCAAGCGUUAUCCGGAUUUAUUGGGUUUAAAGGGAGCGUAGGUUGACAUAUAAGUCAGCUGUGAAAGUUUACGGCUCAACCGUGAAAUUGCAGUUGAUACUGUAUGUCUUGAGUGUACAAGAGGUGGGCGGAAUUCGUGGUGUAGCGGUGAAAUGCUUAGAUAUCUCGAAGAACUCCAAUUGCGAAGGCAGCUCACUGGGGUACAACUGGCACUGAGGCUCGAAAGUGUGGGUAUCAAACAGGAUUAGAUACCCUGGUAGUCCACACAGUAAACGAUGAAUACUCGCUGUUUGCGAUAUACAGUAAGCGGCCAAGCGAAAGCAUUAAGUAUUCCACCUGGGGAGUACGCCGGCAACGGUGA